UGGGGAAUUUUGGACAAUGGGGGAAACCCUGAUCCAGCCAUCCCGCGUGUGCGAUGAAGGCCUUCGGGUUGUAAAGCACUUUUGGCAGGAAAGAAACGUCAUGGGUUAAUACCCCGUGAAACUGACGGUACCUGCAGAAUAAGCACCGGCUAACUACGUGCCAGCAGCCGCGGUAAUACGUAGGGUGCAAGCGUUAAUCGGAAUUACUGGGCGUAAAGCGUGCGCAGGCGGUUCGGAAAGAAAGAUGUGAAAUCCCAGAGCUAAACUUUGGAACUGCAUUUUUAACUACCGGGCUAGAGUGUGUCAGAGGGGGGUGGAAUUCCGCGUGUAGCAGUGAAGUGAGUAGAUAUGCGGAGGAACACCGAUGGGGAAGGCAGCCUCCGGGGAUAACACUGAAGCUCAUGCACGAAAGCGUGGGGAGCAAACAGG
rnacentral:rRNA from 1 species